rnacentral:misc_RNA from 1 species
GGUGGAAGUAAAAGUAAAGUCCCUAUGUUCUAAAAAUUACACACUCCAUCCUCACUUUACAGUCAAUAACUCAAAGUUUACGAACUGAUCACAGCAACAAACCACAGGACUUAGAGCACAGAAAUAAAAUACGGUGUGCACCUUUAUGAACACUGUAAACCAGAGAAGAAAUUUUUAAUCAGAAUCCGAAUCCGACUCGCUUGAACUGCUGUCGACGUAGACCUCUUCAUCGCUACCUUUGGCCUUUUUCUUCUCCUUUUUCUUCUCUUUUUCCUUUGCUCUUUCAGCAGCUUCAACCUUGGCUUUCUGCAGCCUUGAGUCUGCUGCUUCCCAUGAUAUGAGGUUUGAAACAAAGGUUGAUAUAUA